rnacentral:rRNA from 1 species
UACGUAGGUGGCAAGCGUUGUCCGGAUUUACUGGGCGUAAAGAGCGCGCAGGCGGUCGUGCAAGUCGUGUGUGAAAGCCCCCGGCUCAACUGGGGAGGGUCACGCGAUACUGCUCGACUUGAAGGCAGGAGAGGGAAGUGGAAUUCCCGGUGUAGUGGUGAAAUGCGUAGAUAUCGGGAGGAACACCAGUGGCGAAGGCGACUUCCUGGCCUGUUCUUGACGCUGAGGCGCGAAAGCUAGGGUAGCAAACGGG